UCUCGAUUGGUCUAGUGGUCAGGAUACCUGCUUGUCAUCAAUCUAUUGGAACUGGAACUCAUCCGGAAAAUUGGAUCUGGUAAAUCGCAGGUGGCCGGGGUUCGAUUCCCCGAUCGAGAG